UUUUCAACAGCUUGAGUAUGGGUUCACACGUGGCUGUUAGAUGAGAUGUGAACCAUGACCUGUAGUUCAAUCUACCUAAUAGACCACGAACCUCUUUUUCUGUUCUCGGUUCAGGCAUUUCUUGUUUUUCUUUCUUUUUUUUUCUUCUUUUUUUUUUUUAAACAGGAUCAACCUCGAUUCCUCUCUUACAAUGAACCCCAACAUCUUACCGGACCGCACUCUGAAAGUGCACUUAUUUGAAUUCAACCUCAGUUUGAA
rnacentral:lncRNA from 1 species